AGUGAACGCUGGCGGUAGGCCUAACACAUGCAAGUCGAACGGCAGCACAGUAAGAGCUUGCUCUUACGGGUGGCGAGUGGCGGACGGGUGAGGAAUACAUCGGAAUCUACUUUUUCGUGGGGGAUAACGUAGGGAAACUUACGCUAAUACCGCAUACGACCUACGGGUGAAAGCAGGGGAUCUUCGGACCUUGCGCGAUUGGAUGAGCCGAUGUCGGAUUAGCUAGUUGGCGGGGUAAAGGCCCACCAAGGCGACGAUCCGUAGCUGGUCUGAGAGGAUGAUCAGCCACACUGGAACUGAGACACGGUCCAGACUCCUACGGGAGGCAGCAGUGGGGAAUAUUGGACAAUGGGCGCAAGCCUGGUCCAGCCAUACCGCGUGGGUGAAGAAGGCCUUCGGGUUGUAAAGCCCUUUUGUUGGGAAAGAAAAGCAGCAGGUUAAUACCCCGCUGUUCUGACGGUACCCAAAGAAUAAGCACCGGCUAACUUCGUG
rnacentral:rRNA from 1 species